AUACGUAGGGAGCGAGCGUUGUACGGAAUUACUGGGUGUAAAGGGUGCGUAGGCGGGACUGCAAGUCAGAUGUGAAAUGCCGGGGCUCAACCCCGUAGCUGGCUUUGAAACUGUGGUUCUUGAGUGAGGUAGCGGUCAGCGGAAUUCCUAGUGUAGCGGUGAAAUGCGUAGAGAUUAGGAGGAACAUCGGUGGCGAAGGCGGCUUACUGGGCCUUUACUGACGCUGAGGCACGAAAGCGUGGGGAGCAAACAGGAUUAGAUACCCUGGUAGUCCACGCUGUAAACGAUGAUGACUAGGUGUGGGGGGACUGAACCCUUCCGUGCCGCAGUUAACACAAUAAGUCAUCCACCUGGGGAGUACGGCCGCAAGGUUGAAACUCAAAUGAAUUGACGGGG
rnacentral:rRNA from 1 species